rnacentral:rRNA from 1 species
CUACGGGAGGCACCAGUGGGGAAUAUUGCACAAUGGGCGCAAGCCUGAUGCAGCCAUGCCGCGUGUAUGAAGAAGGCCUUCGGGUUGUAAAGUACUUUCAGCGGGGAGGAAGGGAGUAAAGUUAAUACCUUUGCUCAUUGACGUUACCCGCAGAAGAAGCACCGGCUAACUCCGUGCCAGCAGCCGCGGUAAUACGGAGGGUGCAAGCGUUAAUCGGAAUUACUGGGCGUAAAGCGCACGCGGGCGGUUUGUUAAGUCAGAUGUGAAAUCCCCGGGCUCAACCUGGGAACUGCAUCUGAUACUGGCAAGACUGAGUCUCGUAGAGGGGGGUAGAAUUCCAGGUGUAGCGGUGAAAUGCGUAGAGAUCUGGAGGAAUAUCGGUGGCGAAGGCGGCCCCCUGGACGAAGACUGACGCUCAGGUGCGAAAGCGUGGGGAGCAAACAGGAUUAGAUACCCAGUAGUC